CAAGUGUGACAUCAGCGGUCAUGGAGAGUCUCCAUCCAGCUGGAUCACUGUCACAGGGGGACACAUCACCACACCUCCACCUACAUCCACACCUCCACCUGGUUCCACCUCAGUCACUCUUCCUCCCGUUCUCUCUGUGUUGUCAUGUGUUGGAUCCGUCUGUGUUGUGGUUCUACUGGUGUUACUGGUUCUGCUGGUGAGACAUUGUGUUCACAGGAAACCUGAAGAGAGGGAUCCAGUCUACUCAGCAGUGAAAACAGGAGAUGUCAGUUAUGGUGAAAUUAUCAUCAAGGACGUGAAAAAACAAACAAGGAUUAGAGAGUUUAACCGAGAGCCCAACGUUGUCUACUCUUCACUCAAGUUGUCCAUGGGUCCAACCGCUGGUGUCUAACUGCUCCCCCCAGCACCACAGACACAGGAUAUGUACAUGCUAAAUAGAUUUGUAUGCAGAUUUGUGUGUAUUUUGCGUAGUAUCUUAUUUUUUAUCCGAGUUUUUUAAAGUGUAUUUUGCUGCAAAAUCAGCAGUAUGGUUACAAAUGUUUUCAUGUCCUCAGUAAGAUCACUCUUAUUUAUAUUUUAUUCAUGUUUGUUACAUCUUGAUCUUUUUGCCAAAGUAUCAAUUUAGUUCCUCUACAAGAUUAAUAAAUGUUUGUUCUCA